rnacentral:rRNA from 1 species
UACGGAGGUUGCAAGCGUUGUUCGGAAUUAUUGGGCGUAAAGGGCGUGUAGGCGGUUUGGUAAGUCAGAUGUGAAAGCCCUGGGCUUAACCCAGGAAGUGCAUUUGAAACUACCAGACUUGAGUAUGGGAGAGGAGAGUGGAAUUCCCAGUGUAGAGGUGAAAUUCGUAGAUAUUGGGAGGAACAUCCGUGGCGAAGGCGACUCUCUGGACCAAUACUGACGCUGAGACGCGAAAGCGUGGGGAGCAAACAGG